rnacentral:rRNA from 1 species
UACAGAGGAUGCAAGCGUUAUCCGGAAUGAUUGGGCGUAAAGCGUCUGUAGGUGGCUUUUAAGUCCGCCGUCAAAUCCCAGGGCUCAACCCUGGACAGGCGGUGGAAACUACCAAGCUGGAGUACGGUAGGGGCAGAGGGAAUUUCCGGUGGAGCGGUGAAAUGCAUUGAGAUCGGAAGAACACCACGGCGAAAGCACUCUGCUGGCCGACACUGACACUGAGAGACGAAAGCUAGGGGAGCAAAUGGG